GCCGGGGAAGGGAACAGUCAAGAUGGCGGCCGGGGUGAGGCGAGCGAAGCGCCGCUGAGGAGAACAAACUCGGCCGGUGAUCAAAAAAAUCCGAAACUUGGGAGGAGUAGUCCCCUGGCCCGUGGGCGGAUCGUGACAAAAUUGAUGGCAUUGGUGACAAGUAUUAUUACUACUACUAACAGCAACAACAACAACAAUAAUCAUAUCCCGGGAGUUAUCGUUUUGCCUGUCGCCUCUUCUACCCACGAAUGCUGGAACCUCAUCAUUGGAAGUAGUCGAAUUGGAAUCUGUGGGUCCUAGACCGCAAAGAACAACUUGCGGACCCAAAGCGACAGGCAAAAUAAUUAUUACAUGUUCCAGAAGCAUUCUCUCCUGACUUUUCACCCAUACCUAUGGCAGGCAUCCUCUGGCGAGAGAGGGCGGUCUAGAAAUAAAGUUUUAUUAUUAUUUUA